AGACAUUUGAUGAGGUCAAACUGAACUAUUCUUUUGCCUUUUACUAAAGAAUAUUGUGUGCUCACUACUCACUUUGGCAUAUGUUAUUUUUGAGGUUUUCUGUUGAUGGCU